rfam:Desulfomicrobium orale DSM 12838, complete genome.
UAACUGGAGAGUUUGAUUCUGGCUCAGAAUGAACGCUGGCGGCGUGCCUAACACAUGCAAGUCGAACGAGAAAGUUCCUUCGGGAAUGAGUAGAGUGGCGCACGGGUGAGUAACGCGUGGGUAAUCUGCCCUUGGAUUUGGGAUAACUUCGCGAAAGUGGAGCUAAUACCGGAUAGUCUGGCUUUGUAAAAGGAGUCGGUAAAGGAUGCCUCUGCAUAUGCAUUCGUCCGAGGAUGAGCCCGCGUCUCAUUAGCUAGUUGGUAGGGUAACGGCCUACCAAGGCGACGAUGAGUAGCUGGUCUGAGAGGAUGAUCAGCCACACUGGGACUGAAACACGGCCCAGACUCCUGCGGGAGGCAGCAGUGGGGAAUAUUGCGCAAUGGGCGAAAGCCUGACGCAGCAACGCCGUGUGAGGGAUGAAGGUUUUCGGAUCGUAAACCUCUGUCAGAAGGGAAGAAGUGGUGCGGGUCCAACAGGCCCGUAUCUUGACGGUACCUUCAAAGGAAGCACCGGCUAACUCCGUGCCAGCAGCCGCGGUAAUACGGAGGGUGCAAGCGUUAUUCGGAAUUACUGGGCGUAAAGCGCACGUAGGCGGCCUUGUAAGUCAGGUGUGAAAUCCCACGGCUCAACCGUGGAACUGCACUUGAAACUGCGGGGCUCGAAUCCUGGAGAGGGCGGCGGAAUUCCUGGUGUAGGAGUGAAAUCCGUAGAUAUCAGGAGGAACACCGGUGGCGAAGGCGGCCGCCUGGACAGGUAUUGACGCUGAGGUGCGAAAGUGUGGGGAGCAAACAGGAUUAGAUACCCUGGUAGUCCACACCGUAAACGAUGGAUACUAGGUGUCGGGGACUUGAUCCUCGGUGCCGCAGUUAACGCGUUAAGUAUCCCGCCUGGGGAGUACGGUCGCAAGGCUGAAACUCAAAGAAAUUGACGGGGGCCCGCACAAGCGGUGGAGUAUGUGGUUUAAUUCGAUGCAACGCGAAGAACCUUACCUGGGCUUGACAUCCUGGGAAUUCCGCAGAGAUGCGGAAGUGCCCUUCGGGGAAUCCAGAGACAGGUGCUGCAUGGCUGUCGUCAGCUCGUGCCGUGAGGUGUUGGGUUAAGUCCCGCAACGAGCGCAACCCCUAUCCUCAGUUGCCAGCAGGUAAAGCUGGGCACUCUGUGGAGACUGCCCGGGUUAACCGGGAGGAAGGUGGGGACGACGUCAAGUCAUCAUGGCCCUUACGCCCAGGGCUACACACGUACUACAAUGGUGGGCACAAAGGGCAGCGAAACCGCGAGGUCCAGCCAAUCCCAAAAAAACCAUCAUAGUCCGGAUUGCAGUCUGCAACUCGACUGCAUGAAGUUGGAAUCGCUAGUAAUCCCGGAUCAGCAUGCCGGGGUGAAUACGUUCCCGGGCCUUGUACACACCGCCCGUCACACCACGAAAGUCGGUUCUACCCGAAGCCGCCAGGCUAACCCGCAAGGGAUGCAGGCGUCUACGGUAGGGCUGGUAAUUGGGGUGAAGUCGUAACAAGGUAGCCGUAGGGGAACCUGCGGCUGGAUCACCUCCUUA